UAGGCUAAUUUAACUUCUUAAAAAAAAAUUGUAUCAACUAAUGAACAUAAACUACACGUAGUUAGCGAGACCAUAAGAACAAUAGAAUCAAGAUAUAAUCUUCAGCUCCUGCAUACAUCAUGUGAGAUUGAGAUACAUGUAAAAAGAUCACUUCUCAUCUAAAUCCCAAUGUGAAGACCUGGUGGUGUAAAAUGGAAAAACAAAAUAAAUUUAAACAAAGAGUAAACCUUGAAAAAAUAUUGAAUACAACAAUGGAUUUGAAAUAUAAACAUAAAUAUUUUUGAGAAAACUAAAACAUAUACACGCACAUAUGUAGCAAAGAUAUGCAAGGGUAAAAAAAACAAACAUAAUAGAACAAAAACAUACAAAAUAUCAUGCAUGCAGCGACAGCGACCAUAGAUAGAAGGGGAUGGCUCUCCAUGUCGAAAAGACAAAAUAAGAGAAUAGAAUCGCCACAAAACACAAAUAACUUUGUACCAGUUGUGCAAAAUAAUUAGCCUAGUGAGUCACAAAGAAGGCAACUUCAAAACAGGGAAAAAUAUACUCUAGAGUGGUGUCACAAAGAGAAACACCAUGCAAAAGUGUCUUCUAUGGUGUCAAGUGCCUUAAAAGGGAAAGCAAACAUUAGGUAGAAUGGAAAAGCAAAUCUGUCAUA
rnacentral:lncRNA from 1 species